CAGCGGCAGCAGUAAAACAUCAUCUCUCUUCGAGUAUUGACGGCUCAGAUUUCUUCAUAGGUAUAUAAACAUACAGUAAGGAAACCUAGAUAAUAGCGAAACGUGUGAAGGUGAUGACUGCGAUGCCGUACGAUUCUGUAGACGAGUCGUCGCUAGCGCUGCCUAGCGAAGACGUCAGAAACUAGGAGCCAAUACAGACUGGUGGGCGCCAAACAUCCCACGGAGUGCAUGGAACUCCUCAGGAAACGCUUCCACUAUAUUAUCCUAUGAGCGAGCUGCUGGCGCAGGCAAUCACACCAGAAGAACAAAUCUCUCUUCUUCAUUUUAAGUUUUCUGUCUCAUAUAUGAAAAUGUUGUUAAAACUGUUGUGAGCAUAUAUGAAGAGCUAUUAAUCCCCAUCUUACAAAUGAAUAAAUUAAUUUUAGCAUUCA